GAGCUGCUCCAUGCCAGGUGAAGUGUCCACGAUGGCCUUGCCCUGGAAGGAGUCUGGGCCUGGGAGGCGGCUGCAAAGGAUGAGGCAGAAGGAUGCGUGCUGACAUAGAAAGGCAUUCUCCAUGCGCUGCAGAGGACGAAAAGCAGGCAACAAGGCGGGAUACAGGUUAAAAGCUUGCGUAUCUGCGCACAUCGGAGAGAGAGAAGACCCAUGGCCAUAAAUACACAAAAAGAAGCCCAACCUCACCAUAGCCAAGGAGAUGCAGAGGAAGAACUGAAGAUCCCGGUCCUCCCCUGGCCCCUGGGGACCCGAGCUCUGAGGCGCAGCGCGCUCCGAGCUUGUCUUUACACACCAGCUGGGCUUCCCGCCGCGUUGUAACUCAAAGUUUUGUAAAUUGGAUCAUAUUUUACAGAAGAGAUAAAAGAAUGAGGCUGUGAAUCCUUGGAAAGAAUGUGCGCAUGAAGUGAUAAUCAGAACCAGAUUUAUGAUUUCUGUAAAGACAAAAAUCAGACAUAAAUGUCAAUGGUGCC
rnacentral:lncRNA from 1 species